CAGAGGCAAAAGGGGGAAAAUGCUUUCACUAGCUACUAUUCAGCUAGAAAUUCUAGAGGCAAUACUGAGAAGCCACUGAAGCCUCCACUGGAGGCCAUCCCUGCC